rnacentral:rRNA from 1 species
AGCGAACGCUGGCGGCAGGCCUAACACAUGCAAGUCGAACGAACCUUUCGGGGUUAGUGGCGGACGGGUGAGUAACACGUGGGAACGUGCCUUUAGGUUCGGAAUAACUCAGGGAAACUUGUGCUAAUACCGAAUGUGCCCUUCGGGGGAAAGAUUAAUCGCCUUUAGAGCGGCCCGCGUCUGAUUAGCUAGUUGGUUGAGGUAAUGGCUCACCAAGGCGACGAUCAGUAGCUGGUCUGAGAGGAUGAUCAGCCACAUUGGGACUGAGACACGGCCCAAACUCCUACGGGAGGCAGCAGUGGGGAGUCUUGCGCAAUGGGCGAAAGCCUGACGCAGCCAUGCCGCGUGAAUGAUGAAGGUCUUAGGAUUGUAAAAUUCUUUCACCGGGGACGAUAAUGACGGUACCCGGAGAAGAAGCCCCGGCUAACUUCGUG